ncrna:unclassified sequences chromate-resist RNA
UCGGGCCACAUCGCAGUCGCCCGGCCUCUUCAAGGCAUAUCGCCCAAGUACUGC